rnacentral:rRNA from 1 species
UACGUAGGGGGCAAGCGUUGUCCGGAUUUAUUGGGCGUAAAGAGCGUGUAGGCGGCCAGACAAGUCCGUUGUGAAAACUAGAGGCUUAACCUCUAGACGUCGAUGGAAACUGUUUGGCUAGAGUCCGGAAGAGGAGAAUGGAAUUCCUGGUGUAGCGGUAGAAAUGCGCAGAUAUCAGGAAGAACACCCGUGGCUAAGGCGGUUCUCUAGUACGGUACUGACGCCGUGAGAAG